GGAUUUUGUGGUUCAGUGGUAGAACACUUGCCUUGCAUGUGUGAGGCACUGGGUUCUAUCCUCAGCACCA
rnacentral:tRNA from 1 species